GCGAAUCGGGGAGUUGUAUAUAAGGUGCCACUUCACGGGGGAGGGGGCGCCCACACGACAGGCGUCACAGCGCCAUAACCGAUAAAGGCUCGGCGCCGUCUGCGCCGCUGUGUCGGCGCCGCCGCAUCCACCAACGUAAGAUGCCAUCAUGUCCUUCAGCAAGUCCAUCUGGCUGGUUGUACUGGUAGCCGUCUUUUAUCCGGAACAAGCAAUUCUCAUUUCAAAUCCAAGCUUCACAUCAGACAACGCCGUCAUUUUGUCAUCUCUUUUCAAGACAAAUUCUCCGCAAGAGCUGCACCCAACCGCUCAGUACAGCCAUGCUAACGUGAAUCCAUUUCUACAAGCCCUUCCCACGGAGAAGCUUCUACGACGAUAUCGCCGAAGUGCAUCACCGAGACGUCGUCACAGACGUCGAAGACAUAGGCCCAGACGUCGAAGACAUAGGCCCAGACGCAGACGACACAGACCCAGGCGCCAUCGACAUAGGCCCCGGCGCCAUCGACACAGGCCCAGGCGCCAGCGACACAGGCCUCGACGUCGACGUAGGCCCAAACGCCCUCGACGUAGACCUAAACGCCCUCGACGUAGGCCCAAACGCCCUCGACGUAGGCCCAGACGUCCUCGACGUAGGCCCAAACGCCCUCGACGUAAAC